GACAGAGGUGCCGAGCGUUAGGCGGAAUCACUGGGCUUAAAGCGUGUGUAGGCGGGGCCGUCAGUACCUUGUGAAAUCCCACGGCUCAACCGUGGAACUGCUUGGUAUACUGCGGGUCUUGAGCCACCUAGGGGCAAGCGGAACAAGCGGUGGAGCGGUGAAAUGCGUAGAUAUCGGAAGGAACACCUGUGGCGAAAGCGGCUCACUGGACCAUUACUGACGCUGAGGCACGAAAGCUAGGGGAGCAAACAGG
rnacentral:rRNA from 1 species